rnacentral:rRNA from 1 species
GACGGAAGGUGCAAGCGUUGCUCGGAAUCACUGGGCGUAAAGAGCGUGUAGGCGGCCACGCAGGUCCGUUGUGAAAACUGGAGGCUCAACCUCCAGCUGUCGACGGAAACCGUAUGGCUAGAGUCCGGAAGAGGAGAGUGGAAUUCCUGGUGUAGCGGUGAAAUGCGCAGAUAUCAGGAAGAACACCAAUGGCGAAGGCAGCUCUCUGGGACGGUACUGACGCUGAGACGCGAAAGCGUGGGGAGCGAACAGG